GACGAUUUUAUGAAAGCUAUUAAACUGUGUUCUGUUCUGUGUGUUAUAUUUUAAGUAUAUGGUGUUGUUUCACUCCCCUCCACACUGUAGUCCGUUAGGGGCGAUUUCAAUGUUGUUUAUACACCGACAAUGAAACUCGAAGAAGAAGAGAAAGAUGGCGGAGAAGAAGAAGAAGAGAAAGAUGGCGGUUGGCGGGCUGAACAAGUUGAUGUAAGCAGGAAACAAUUUACAGAUUUGACAUUUAGGUUGUUUAAAAAAAACAGGUAAAUGAGUAAAUGAUGACACAGACUCCUCGAACAGUAACGCUGAUGAUAGAAGCGAAGAUAUUAAGAAGAAGUCGUGAAGAACUGAUCGAUUCUGGAGCCGACGUUGAUGCUAACGUUAUGCUAACAGCGGCUCCAAUUAACUUACCUGUCGUACAAGCUAACAGUUAGCUUAGCUUCAUCGACCUGGCGUGAUUGGGAGUAAUGGCCGCUGUGAGCUGGAGGGUUUAUCCUGCUCAGGGGAGGAACAAACACCUGGUUCAAGUUGUAAAACAGGAGCGUCCACUGUCGCUCAGAAUGACAGACGUGGGAGGUGAUGAAGUCGCCGGACUGCGAUGAAACUGUGACCGUGAUGCUGGAACAGCGUCUGAGCCUCCUGCAGCUCCGACCUCCAGACAGAACCGCUCGACUGACGCCUGCCAGAGGGAAACCGAUGCACGACUUCAUCUGAACAUCAGCUCCUCCUCAGCUGCCAGCUGAUUGGUCGACCCAGUCCCACACAUGGACGGAUCCGUCCGAGGCAGCGGACAGGAGCGUCCGUGGCCUCUCGGGAUGCCAGACGUGGGAGGUGACGAAGACGCCGUCGUCAGACUGAGAUGAAACUGUGUGACCGCGGUGCUGGAACAGCGGCUGCGCCUCCUGCAGCUCCGACCUCCAGACUGACGUGUUGUAGAUCUGAACGGCUCCACUGAAACCUGCCAGAGGGAAACACAUCUGUUACUACAUCUGGUCUGAAACCACCGCCUGUCCAGACGAGGAGAGUCUGACGAUCCUGCAGCUGGUUGGGUCCAAACAGGAAGAACCUGAGGAGGCGUCCGUCCACCAGAGGACAGAUUCACCUGAAGACGCUGGUGGAGGUGAAAGCUGAGGGG